GCGGCGGUGGUGAAAUUGGUAGACACGCUAGCUUGAGGGGCUAGUGGCAGCAAUGCCGUGCUGGUUCAAGUCCAGUUCGCCGCA
rnacentral:tRNA from 1 species